CCCAGUUCACGGCACGCUGCUCGUUUUGGCCUGACGCACGCAGAGGCCAACGUUACGCACAAUUGUGGCUCAGAGUGGACGCUGCUUUCCAUCCAAACACCGCGCGGUGACAAUAGUAGGCCUCACCAAUGAAUCCACCCUGCUGGAAAAGGUGGAGGAGAUAUGUGUGUGCGCAAAAGGUGACGAGAAAAGUGACAACAGAUCAGAACUUUCUCCACCUGCCCAGAAGUUCAACAUGUGCCUCGGUGACAUAUUCCAAAAUGAAUCAUGUCCAGCAGGCCCUCUGCGCCAUAUCAAACAGCGAGCAUGCUCCUGCAGCCUACAGAUGGAUUAAAACUGUCACCGAUUUAAAGACUGUACGAGGAAGAGACCCGACCCCCUGGAUGGAUCAUGAUGAAACAAUCCCAGCGUUGAAAACCAGGCUCUGAUGUCUCUUGUGAUCACCAAAAGUAAGAUGGACUUCAUUUGGAGUUUGGUACAGAUAUUUUUGUGGCCUCUGCGCCAGGCCGCGUUCAAGAUCUGUUCAGUUAAUGCUUUACCUUAUGUUUGUUAUAGGAUUGGAUGGAUCACGAUGAGACAAUCCCAGCGUUGGAACCAGGCCCUGACGUCUCCUGAAGUCAUCAAAAGUAAGACGAACUUUGUUUGGAUUUUGCGGGUUUUGUGCUGAUGUUUUGGCCGCCGCGCCAAACUGCGUUUAAGAUCUGAUCAGUUAAUGCUUCACCUGAUGUUGGUUAUAGCAUUUGUGUGACUUUAAAGAGGGUUUUGUGCGUUAAGGUCACUUUUUAUUGUUAUCCUACGAAGCAGGCUUGUGCUCAGUUGUGGCCUUUUUGGGUGCCUGUGUGGUUGUCCUGCUGGGUCGUGUUUGUGUUACUUGAACGUUGCUUUUUGUGGCCUGGUGUGCUAUUUAUCCUGUUUGCUACCUGUUCGUCCUAGAAAUUAAUAAUCCGGCUAACUGUGAGUGAAACUGCCGUGUGAAGUUGCCAUGACAGCAGCUCCUCAAUUGUAAUCUCAAUCUGGACCAGGUAUGGUGCAUCAAAAUCAAUCAAAUUAACUUGAUUGACAGAUAGGUGUUACAGCAAGUGAGGAUUUUGCUUGGUGGAUUACUUUAUUUUGAGGUGUAGAGAAGGCCUGCAUCACUCUGACAUUUAAGAACCUCUCUGUUGCUGCUGCCAGUACAGUAAAAACUGGAUUCAUGGCAUCGUUUUUCACAAAAUAAUGACCAAAUCGAUGAAUCAUGAUGAAAUAAUUCCAGCUUUGAAGGACAACAACAAGGCCCCGAAGUUUUCUGCACUGGUCAUCAAAAGUAAGACCAACUUUCUUUGGAUUCUGGGUGCAGUAGUUGUGGUGGGAGUACACUAAAUGUUCAUGCUGAUGUUGCUGAAACUGUGCACACAUGUGACCGCCGUGCCAAGCUUUGUUAAAGUGUAAUUUCUAAAGCUGCUGAGCAUGUUGUUGCAGGUUGAUCUCAAUCCAUGUGCUUCAUUAUCAAGGCUGUUUGUGUGUGAAAAUGUGGCCCUGUGCCAGUGUUUGUUUGUGUGCUUACACUAUCGCUCUGCUUGUAACUGCUGCUGUUUUAAAUGAAGUAUCAAUGUUAUAUGUGGCUGCCGUGCCAGCUAUACUCUACUCUUUACACUGUUUUAACUAUAUAAAUGAAGUGUCAAUGCUUUAUGUGGCUGCCGUGCCAGCUAUACUCUGCUGUUUAUACUGUUUUAACUCUGUGUAAAUGAAGUGUCAAUGUUAUAUGUGGCUGCCGUGCCAGCUAUACUCUACUCUUUACACUGUUUUAACUCGAUAUAUGAAGUGUCAAUGUUCACUAUACUCUACUGUUUAUCAUGUUUUAACAAUAUAAAUGAAAUGUCAAUGCUUUAUGUGGCUGCCGUGCCAGCUAUACUCUACUCUUUACACUAUUUUAACUCUAUUAAUGAAGUGUCAAUGUUAUAUGUGGCUGCCGUGCCAGCUAUAUACUCCACUGUUUAUACUGUUUUAACUCUAUGUCAAUGAAGUACCAAUGCUAUGUAUGGCCGCCGUGCCAGCUAGACACUUCUGUUUAUGCUGUUUUUUGCCUGUAACAUUACCUCUGUUAUUGUGCAGUUUAAAGCCUGUACUGCAUUUGGAUGAACACAACUGCAAGUCUAUGCCUUCUGGAUUUUCUCUUUGCUUGCCCACCCUGUGAUUUUUGUCUAUUUUGAAUAUGAAUGAUCUGAUUCUGAGCUUGCAAAAAGUUGUUUGACGUAAAUUGCCGUUGGUCUUUCUGCUCUGUGUUCCUGUGAAUAGUGAGUUUUCGCAGCGUUGGAGUGGUGAGCUACAUCUAUUCAUUCAUUCAUUCAUUCAUUCAUUUACCUUUUGGUUAAUGUAGCUGUGACUUGCUCCAAGUUUUUUGAUAUCCUUGCCUUCAAAGAAAGCAAAGUACAAUCUGAGUAUGUUUUCAUUUUAGUUGGUGCCAAAUGGAGAAAAUUCAGAUUUGUUGAUUGCAGAAAUCUAGCAGUUGUUGCAGUUUUGUCCUGCAAAGCAAGGGUUGUUUUAGAUCCAAAGUGUUUUCCACAAAGCUUUUUGAGUGCUUUUUAGGGGUUGUGUGAGUAACUUGGUGCAAACUGUCACCUGGUUGGGUGUGCAGGUAUCUGGAAGCAGGUGUCUGAAUGUUUGGCUGUGUAUAAAUGACUAAAGCUGGCACUCUGUGCACUUCUGCAUAGAUUAGGACAUUUUGUGCUUUUGUUUUAUGGUGGACCUGUGAAAAAGUGGGCAGUUCUUGUUGUAAACUCAAAUGUUUUUGCUCUCAUGUGUAAAAAUUUCCUAUCAGCUAUAAAUUAUCAACUGACUAACAUUUUGAGUUUGAACUUUUCCCAACCAUCUGUAUUUCAUCAAACUGGAUUUCUCCUUUUUUAAAACAUCUGUAAUUCAAACUCCUCCAGACUGCAAACUUGCAAAGAGAAACUUUCAGCGUAGCUAUUCUCACAUUACCUUCAUAAAAGGUGUGAUUGCUGAGUCCUUGACCAAUAAACAACUUCAUUGAACAGAUUUAGUUGCCGUAACCAUGUCCCAAAAAAGCUUUUGUUUAGGAAGGAUUUUUCAAAAGGAUUUUAACUACUCCAAAUCAGCAUUACCUUCUUUAAGCACUCUGUUGGUAUAUCAGACCUGCACCCUGUGCUGUAAGUCAUGUGAUCACAGCUGUGUGAGGUUUUGGCGUGCCUGUAACUCGGGGUGGGAAUCACUAGUGGCCCACAUGAUAUGAUAUUAUCACGGUACUUCAGCCAUGAUACAAUAUUAUUGUGAUUUUCAACUUUUUGCAAUACAGUGAGUAUUACAAUACAAUAUAUUGAAUUUCUACCUUUUUCAACUAUUUAGCAUUUGUUUUUCCUUUAUCUUUGUCUUAUAUACACAGUAUUUUAUUUUCAUGUAGCACAUCUUGCAAACCUUGUGUAUAUAUAUUUAUCAUACUAACUUUUUCCUGCUCUACGGUGUCACCUCUGCCAACCUCAUUGGACAAGCACUUAAUUUUAUUUUUUCCAUUAUCAUAGAUUUGACUUCAUGUUGGCAAUUAAUUUGAAAAAUCCAUACUUGGUAAAUGAGACGAUAUGAUAUAUCACCAGACAAUAUAUCCCGAUACUAUGCUGUAUCUAUUUUCUUUUCCCAUCCCUACCUGCAACCCUUGUACUGUAACUUCCUCCAUACUCCUAUUACUGUCAAUCAAAGGUAUAACCAAUGAAUCCUAUAAGACUGGGGAUCAUUUGGAUAAUAAUAAUGAAUAAUCAGGUUUUGAGUAAUUAUCACGUUGGACUUAAAACUUGUUUGACCCUCUUUAGAGGCUACAUAGUUGGGGUUAUGAGUUCCUGAAUCCAUGUCUGCAGAGUGGUUUAGUUUUAGGGUUGUGGUUUGAUAGGACCCAGAGUCCCUUGUUGCACUCUUAGUUUUAUGUUUCAUUUAAAUGCAAAUGCACUAAAUGAAAUGCAUUUGUUAAUAGCAUGUUUCGGUAUGACUUUUCUGCUCACCGUCUCAAAAUAUGUCAAAUUAGUCCAAGUUUUUACAGCACAUCACUCCAAAGAUCACAGUAAUUUCUAGAUGCAGUCUAGAUCUUGAGCAUAGCAGGUUUAUUGUGUGGUUCGUGUGUGGUGUUUAUGAGUCAAUAACAAACAGAAAGACUGAUAGAAGAAGUUUAUAUUUCCUUUCUGUCGUCUGGGCAAAGAUUUGCAUCGCAUCUUUGGCGAGCAAAUUUAAAAGCUUGAAGAGUAAUAGAGUUUUUUGAGGUUUUUAUCUUUUAUCUCAAGGAUGGAGGUUUUUUUUUUUAAUGGUGCUGGGCAGUGCCAUAAACAUAAGAGUUAGUUUGAAAAACCUCUCUGUAUCUGCAUUUCUUUGAUCUGAUUUCUUUCCAAGUCAGACUUCAGUACAGGCUCCAGGCCCUGAUAAGAGAUACGUUACUUUUAAAAGCACAACAACAGAUCAUAGCUCUAAUAGAAAUGGAUAUGAUAAUGUCGAACAAAGAGGGAACUGAGCCAGUGUCCUCAGAGCCAGCGUUGGUAGUACGAUGCGCUAAACCUGCUGUUUGUUAAAGCCAAGAAGGUUUCAAAUCCUGAGGCAUCAAACUGGUAAACGAAUACUUGUUGACGCAGGUGGGAAAGUCUCUCCCAGCUGCUCACAUCUCACCUGCGCUUCACUGUCAAGUAUUACACUUCCACUAUCACUGCGAGGUACUUGAAGUCUUGGCAAGCUUCGUGCUGGUGGUACAAGAAAAUCUUACCGAGAGUGUUUAUGAAAGUUUUAGUCAAAAUAUCUUAUUACUUUAAUUCCUGGAGAAGUUAUGGUUGUCAUGGCAACGUAAAUGCUGCUUGCAAAUAACCUGCGCUUCACUGUCAAGUAUUGUACUUCCACUAUCACUGUGAGGUACUUGAAGUCUUGGCAAGCUUAACAGUGGCAGCACAAAAAUCUUACUGAGAGUGUUUGUCAAAGUUUGAGUCAAAAUAUCUUAUUGCAUUUAAGCUGUUCUCAAACCUGUAAAGAGUUGUGCUCAGAGUUUAAAAGCCACCGUCAUGAAACAGACUGCCAACAGGGGGCACCAUAACUGACACAAAGAGAAAGUUCCUCACUGGACUCAAUUUGACAAACACACUCUGUAAGAUUUUAGUUUUUCUGGUGUGUGAAAUCAGGCUGCAACGAUUAGUCAACGUUGUGGACAAAAAUCGUCAAUGAAAAAAGUCGACAAUGAAUUCCAUUGUUGACUAUUGUUGCCAUAUGUGUUUUUUUUUUACCAGUGGAGUAAAGUAUCUUACUUCAUUACGAUCUCUGCCUAGAGUCACACAUGCGCAAUGGUGUCUCCGCCGAGCAAUAGGGUAUUCAAACACUAUGGCGCUGGCGUCCCACACAGCAGCUACGAGUACGCACUUAAAAACCUCCAAAGUUUGGGAGCACUUAAGCCAGGAUAAGGCAAAAAUGUUAAAUUUAAGAAAAAAAUUCAUAAUUAUCCGAUUAGUCGACUAAUCGUUUCAAUAGUUGGUAACAAGUCGACUAUUAAAAUGGUCGUUAGUUGCAGCCCUAGUGUGAAACGAGUGUGCGGUAUCCGGGGAAUAAUACACUAUCAGACGAGCUGAGGUGUCCUCACGCUGUCUGUGCACAUAUGUGAAAUUUAACAUAUUAAUUUAUUUAAUCUUUAGGAAUAACUGGUUCCUUCCGGUUAUUGACAUGUUUUCAGACUCUAAAACAUCCAAAAAUUCCACACAAUAGUCUUCCUGGUGAACUCAUAGGUGGUGCAUUUUGUUUUUCCCAUUGACUUGCGCCUGUGUUUUUGUCGGGGUCUCAUUCACUAUCGUUUUAUCCAUGUGUUUAUUGUCAGACAUUUUUCACUGAAUGAGAAAUCUCCGUAUAAUCAGACUCAACACAAAGGAGUGAUUUUCAAACCCACUUUAGCACAACAGGCAGUUGUUAUGGGAUCAAUGAGCAGCAUCAUCAUUAUUAAAAACGAGCAGCUAACGGCAGUCACUUGAUCACAGAGGAGUGCGGCCGCGCUGCAAUCAAUCCUGAUUGGACGAGACGCUGGGACGAGAGGGAUGUCGGCACUUCUGCUAUUUAAGAGGGUCAAGUGCCAUCGAUCGUAGUUCUCUGCCGAGACACCGCCUUGUCAUCGAUGAGACGGAUUAAGCUCUCAGAGCUGGCACAUGUUUCUCAGCCGCCCAUCAUAUCCUCACAUCCUGUCUGCGGCGUCCACUCGAUGACUCAUCUUCCCAGGAGUUUCUCCUGGGUCCACUGCUCCUGAGGGGAGUGUGUGAGUGAGAGCCAGAGGCAGUGGGAGGAUAAAGCAUUUAUACUUUUAUACACACAGAUAGAGGAUGAGUUAGCUGCUGUUUGCUCACGACAGAGACUUUACUGUCCUUCGUACACUGGUGUUGUUUUUAAAAACCAGAAAAUUUGAAAAUUUGUCCUUGUAAAAACAAAAAUCAUUCUCUAAGUUCAUUUGAACUGAUGGAUUAGCAGGUAACUUUCACCUGACUGUUGUUCUCUUUCCAGUUUAGCUCCUUUCAGGCAGCUUUUUUUGAUUUAGCUGCACUGCUGAAUAUGCAAACUUGCUCACACCUUACCAAAGUAACAAUGAAGUGCUGUCAGUGUUGCAUAAAAAGCCAGUUUUGGCCUGAAAAAUGUGUCUUCUGUUAAGAUUUGUCCCAAAACAAGACAGUUUUGUAUAUCCAAGAGUUUAAAUAUUCAAGAAAGUCACACAAACUAUGAAAAUAUGCAGCGUCAUAAACUGUAAGAGUGCUGUCUCACGCCAAACUUUCCUGAUUUACUGAUAUAAGUAACUUAAAAAACCUGAAGAGCUGAUACAAAAUACUCCACUUAAACCAAAUGGUGCGCUUUCUCUCUUAUUCCUUUUAAAGCUGGUCUCUCUCACUGUUGAUUUGGUUAAAAGUUUGGAGUUGGCUUCCAUUUAAACACAAUAUUUACAGGUUAAAUUGGCUUUUCCAACUUUUUGCAUUGAACCGUGCUGUGAGUGGAGAGGGGGGAAUAGACGUAGACGAAACAUGCAGCAGUUGGAUAUGGAUGUGUGAAUUCUGCAGACAGCUGCUCUCCCUCUCAUGAAGCUGUGGCACGUUUCCAGAUUCACAAUAAAACACUGUAGACUCCAGGGCCCGCUCACCGUCCUGCAUGUUAUUCUCACUUUCAUCUCAUCCAAAUAGGAACAGUAUAUGGACAGAUUAAAAACACAAAUCUCUCAGCCUGUAAUCUGUUUUAUUUAUAUGCUCCCAGGAGGGAUGUUUACUGCAGGUAGAGCUCUUUCUGGAUGAGGAUUGCACAUCAAAUAAGCGCUCUUUAAUGAUGAAACCGGCCGGUUUCCUUUUUAAAAAGAAAGCCUUUUUUUUCCCCGUCACCUCCACUCUACAUGUAUUUUAAUAGCUUAUAAAUCCCCCCAAUUAGUGCGGCAGCAGGUUUUUCUUUUCAGGGCAAGGAUAUCUCAAAGAAAACUGCUUAGAAUUCAGAUUUCUGGCAUAAUUACCAUGUGCUUUUCCCCUUGCAGAAAUUAUGAAUGGAUGGCAGCUUUUGCAUUCAUAGUUUGGGUUAUAAUUUAUGUAUUUGUGAAGGUGUGCUGCUGGGGUACAAUUUGACACAGAUGUAUCUUCAAUUCAUGCAUAUUGCACUAUUUGCAUGUUAAAAACAAAACAUAUGAGUCAGUCACAUAUACUUGCAUGUUUUAAGAUGAUAAAUUGACCUUAUGCUACCCUGCAGAGGUUGAAUUCUCAAGCUGGCCAACCUUAUUUGUUUUUUUUUCCUUCUACCUGCCACCACAAAGCUUUGCUCCCUUUCUUUCACCACUUUUAGACAUUCCCACCUUGACCAGCAGAUGUCAGUAGUGUCCCUCAAAACCUGGCUGUUCCUCCAAGCCUGAGUAUCACAUUAAUGUCAUCAGACUCUCUCCUUGCACAUUUAACAUGCUAUAUGAAUGUUCAGUCACAUGAUACCUGCGCAAUAGAAGGAUUGGCUUUUUGUGAGUGCUGUCAGGUGUGUAAAUAACUAAUUCAAAUGAGAUGGUUGUCUUUGCAUCUGUGUUUGUUUGCGUGUGUGAAUGCGUGGUGGUAAUUUAGUUAUUAAUGGAGAGAGGGCGCAGAACAAAGUGGCUGCAGAUACAUGUGGCGCUCCAGCUGUGCACCAGGAAAAAAAAAAAAAAAAAGGCAGAUGUUGUAAAUGAAUCUGCAGUGGAUGGAGGGGGAAAGCACGGAGGAAAAGAGCAGUGAAGGAGGAGGGAAGGCAGAGUCUGACAGACUGACAAGCUGGGGAACAGACGAAUAGACUGACAAUCAGGAGGGCUGGAGCACAAACAAACACGAGUACCUGUACUGUAUGGAUAAUGACAUGGUUUUAUAGAUAAAAGCCGAAACAAUGCAAAUAGCCCUCACUCGCAGCAGUUACCAUGGCGACCAUCCACCUGAACUUGAAGGUAAGUCCCAGGAGAGGUGUGCAGGACGGAGUGAGGGGAGAGGAGGGGAGGGAGGCGGGACAGGAGAGGAGACAGUGUCCUGAUUUUACAGUUUGCCAAGUCCUCCAUGUAUCCCCUCGCUGGUCGCCCCACUGUUGUGCACCACGGUGGGUCCACUGGGACGCUGUCUCUAAGAGAUACAACAGAGAGCGUAGAAACCACUUGGACAGAUAUUCACUAUUAGACCUGUUCAAGGUUUUAAUUGCUUCACUUCUCGCCCCCUGAAAUACUCAUCCAUUAAAACCCUCUUCCUUCUCGUACUCGCCGUCAUCAAUGUCCGCCCCACCUCUCCAUGUGCCGCACAUGUAAUGGAUUCUCUUUGAAAUGGCUGAACUUGAAAUGCACCGACCCAGAACGUGAUCAGGUAUCUCCUCUGCACCUCAGGCUGCCUGCAUCUGAAGGCUGUUUAACGUGGCGGGUGGCGGCAAAAUCCAGCCGUUUCUCACUUCCAGGGAAUUGGAUCACAACAACAGAUUUUUAAAAAAUGCAAAGCUUACACAGUCGGGGUUGCGCCAGGAGAACAGGCUUCAUCAGGAAGUGUGCAGAGGCAGAAAGAAUCUGUUUGGUUUGAUGGCCACAGAGGAAGUCUAUUUUGAGACAAAGUAAACUCGCUUUUCUGUUCGAAAGGCAAAACUGUGGGUUCAUGCUGUGAUUUUCAUCGAAGAUCUAUCUUGUAAACCCUCCAGACAACAUUAACUAAGGAACAUUAUUUUCUUUUUAUUUAAGCACAUUCACAUGGAUGGAGGUGCCGUCAUGAUGAAUAUCAGCACUGCUGUGAAUGCACAUUCUGGUUUGUUUUGUUGCUUUUAUGCAACAGUGUACAAGUGAUACUUUAAUUCAUUAAAUACAUGCACAAGCUAGAUUUUGCGAUUAUGGCUCUGUUUCGAGAGCUCCCUGCACUUCCUUGUGACUAUGAAGAGAGACAAAGCCUGCAGCAAGAAUAGCACACCUCCUCUCUGUUUCAAAGCCAAGGCAGGGAGAGAAGCAGCAAACAAUGCAUAUAACACCUGUAAACUCAGACACAGCAUUAGGAGGAGCAGCUGGGGUGGAGGCGGCUGACAGGGACUCCCUUCUUUGAGCCUCAUUCAAAGUAAACAAAACAAAUAAAGUCUUACAUUAAGGUGGUCAUAUAUGGGAGUAUUAUCCUCCCAUUUCCACCAAGUCUCUUCUGCUAAAUGUCUCCAUGUACUACACACUGCACUAUUGAUCUUUCAUUUAAAAGCAAGUGUUGCCAGGCACCCCCAGCAUUUCCUCCCUCAUUCUUCAUACUUCCAUGUGUCAGCAUGCGACCACAGUUACUCUGUAUUAUGUAAAUUGGCCCAUAUGUUCCUAUUUCUCUCGUAGCGCCUGAAUAAAGAAGAUCUUCGCUGUUGUUUUUGUGGCAUUUGCGAGGGAUAGGACCACAUAUCUUUAUCCUUAAUUAUCAUGAUACUGCCACCACAUAUUUAUCUUUUAAAGGUCUUUAAAUGAGAAUAAAAAAGUGAUUUUGUUAAUCAGACUUAUCCCAGCGUGUGAUUGUCUUGAGACUAAGGGAAAAUGUAUUAGUGGAGGGCUGUUGUCCAAACCUGAAGGGACUCUAUUUUGCACAACCACCUGCUCUCUGUUAGGGCUGAGCGAUAUGGCCUCAAAUCAAUAUCACAAUAUAUUGAGCAGUUCGCCUGGACAACAAAAAAUGGAUGAUAACUACUCCACAAGCUGCUCACCCCCUCCCACAUUAACUUCGUCUACUUCAGCCGCUACAACUUUUGAACCGUCCUCCAUCUCCUCACCUGUCUUUCCCUCUUUGUUACGGACUGAAUGGGGUGAACUCUGAUGUAGGACAGCGUCUUAAAGGGACAUGAAACCAUAGCCUACCUACACACAUCCAAAACCAACUUUUAAUUAUUUCUUGUUUUGACACAGAAUAUACCGGCAUGGGCAAUAUGACAUCGGUUAUUUUCUUAAAUUUCAGUAUCGGUAAAUUUUCGGUUUAUCACCCAGCCCUACUCUCUGUACAUUAUCACAUUCAUUCCUACCUGAAGAUAACCAAACAAAGGCACCAAUUGCAUAUUUCUCUUCUUUCCAUCCUCUUCUGUCUGCAUUAACCACUAAUCUUAACUGAUCUUAUAAUAAAUAGAGAAUAAUACUUCAAAAAUGAUCUUUUGUUAAUAUCAGAUAUUGUAAGAGUCCAAAGUUCCUCUGUAUUUUCUCAGUAUUCUGAAAUGCAUCUUACCCAUUAAUAUUACAGGAUAUGACAAAACGAUGAUGUGAACUCAACCAGAAAGAGAAGGUAGACAUGGUUUAUGUAGUCGACAGCAGCCUCAGCAGGGUUUCCUCCUCCCUCUCCAUGUCAAUGACACACAAACACAAACAGUAAACACACUAUCACUUCAUGUUAAUGCUCUCCUCUUGGGCUGUGGAUAUCAUGCAAAAUAGGAAUUUGUAUUUCAGACAUGGCAAUUAAUUUCCAGCCUGCACCUUUCGUUAUGAAGCUAAAUUUUAAUUACUCAUUUCAGGGCAGUUACGGUUGGAGCCCCAGCACACUAAAGAUAAUUUGCCUUUUUGUUAAUCUGGAGGAGGGGGUUUAUGGCAGCCAUAGUGGCAAGCGCAGGCGAUUUUUGUGACAAUCAGACCAUAAUUAUGUGCGGGGAUGCAGCCAAGUGCAACAUUGCCCGAUGUCAUUAACUUGCAGCCCACCUCAGACUGAAAGGGGCUGGGGGUUGUCAUUAUUUUCUAUUAUUCUGAGAGGAACACAAAUCCAAAUGAGCACAGAUAAAAAAAAAAAAAAGGAAAAAAAAAAAAAACCUAACUAAGCUUGAUGCCACAGGCUUAGCCAGCUGUUUGACAUUCAGCUGUUAAACCUUGCUGUAGUGAAAAGAGUGGGGUCACAGGGAUAAUAUUGCUUGAAGAAUGACGUGAAAUUUCAUUAGGUCCGCUAAUACCUCCCUGACAUUAGUGAUAAAUCCUUAGCUGCUUGUUAAUAGGCGCUAAAGAAGCUGAUAUCUGCUGCCUGUGGUAACUGUACCAUGUCCGAUGGCAGGUAGUUGAGGGAUUUGGCUUGAAUCAGAGCUAUGUACAACAGAAACAUGUUGCUGCACACAGUGUGAGUCUGUCAGAGCUCUGCCUUAUCUGCAAACAGAGAAUGACACUUUAAUUCAGGGUCUGCACUUCUACACCACCACUGCCUCUAAAAAUCAAAUACAGGAGUGGACAUCACCAAAGGAGUGCGUCGCACAAUAGGACUAAAAUUUCAAGUUUAACACUUUCAGAAAAUGCAAAUUUAUUUCUGUGAAGCUAAAUCGCAUGAAUCAUCUCAUCAUUGUUAUGCCAACUUUCUACUUUUGACCUCUGCGAUAAGAGUCCUCCAUUUUUGUGCUCAAAGUUAAACUUUUUCAAAUCAGGAAUACCUUGAAAAUUUCCAUUACAAUCGACUGAUACUUUCCUUUGCAUUAAUACGAUUUUAUCUUGACAAAUGACACAAUGAAUUGUCAAUAUUGCCUGAGAGGAUGUUGUUGUUCUGAAAAUAAAGCGCGGCCAUAAAUCGGUAGGAAAUCAUAUUCGGUCCGACCAAACGAACUACCAUGAGUGUGACUCUGCUUUUUCAACAUUACUGAGUAACAUCAGAUUAAGAGAGGAAAUUCAUCAAUAUUAUGCCAAUAUUAUUUCCUAGAUGCCUCUAGGAAAUUGAUUUACUGGAGCUACAGCCCCAGCUAGUGGUAGGAGGCUGAAUUACAUCUCAGACACAAUAUAGGACAGUGGUUCUUAAAUGGUCUCACUCUGGGACUCACAUUUUCUCUUGGUCUUUAAGUCGCGACCCACUUUUAUAAAAUUCAAAUUUAUUUUUUGUAAAAUAAACCUUCAAAGUCUCAAGUGUUUAACAUAGAUACACCCAUCUUAUUGAGUAAAGUGCAUUUUAGAAUGUAUAAACUGAGGAUGACAACUACUAAAUUUGCAUAUACAGAAAAUAUCAAACAUCAAAUUGCACAAAAUAAAGACUACAUAUAUGUAUUUUGCCCCACAAUAUGAAAACACUGAAAAUGUCUUAAUUCGUAUGGUGCAAAUGCCAACAUCCUCACUUUUCCUACAUAUGUAUUUUUCUAUUUGUAAGACACAGUCAACAGUUCCUUAGUCAGCAUGUUUAAGCCAACAGGUACAAACUCUCUGCUGUAAUGUUAAGUAAUGAUAUUGAGAACACCUGGAGCAGAUUGAAAAAUGUAGUUAAAGUCCCAUCGCUGUGAUUGUCUCUGUGAGCUCUAAUUUGAUGCAUUUUGUCCGGUUAAAUUACUGUGUAAGAACUAACAGCUGUGUUAUAAGCUGCUCUGAUUUCCUCUCUUACCAAACACAUUUAAAAACCAUAAUGAGUCGGACAAUGUCUUUUACUGCACAGAGCACAGUGAUGGGACUCCAUUUAUUCGCCUGCUGUUUUCGUGCUGCAGGAUUCAGGAGGGGCCGGGUUGUACAGUAUUCAUGACAGACGGACAUUUUGGAAUUAUAAAUGAAUAUUUCAUGGCCUGAUGGACCGGGAUCUAGCCUGAGCUGCUCUUGGCAGUGGAUAGCAUUCAUACUGAUGCCUCGAUAUAUCUCCUUCCCUUGAAAAUGUCAAUGUGAAGUGAUCUGAGAUUUCAUCAAUGUUUCCUGAAAGGGGAAACUGAGAAAUCGAAGCACAGAGAGGGAGAGUGAUUGUCUUACCAAUAAGUGCUGAUACAUAUUUUGAUGAAGUAUUCUUUCAAGGGCAGUUGGAGUACUUGUUGUCUAUUUCUCUGACUGUCUGGGCUCCUGGUGGGCUUUACUUCCGCCAUGCUGGUCCUCUUGAAAACACGGGAGGAGGAUCUCUCAAACAGGCAGGGUUCACCUCUCCAGCACCCCGCAGAGCAGCUGCAAAGGAAAGACCUGUCUGCAGAGGUGGAGCUGGGUGUCUGAUAUCACUGACGUGUUUCAUAACAAGUGUCUGAGGCCGUCUAUUACCUGGCCCUCGGGGCAAAACUCUCCUUGUCAUCUCUCUGAAGCAGUUCUUCUUUUUCGCCUCUAACUGGGGCCGCGGAGGAGACAAAACCACCAGACGGCAGACUACAGGCAAACGAAGGAGAACACACGGAGAGGGAUUGGAAUUAUUGGCUUAAUUAGACCCACAGGGAGUCCAGCUUAAACGGUUUGCUCGAGUGAAUAUUACUAAUGCACAGGUGUAAAGAGGGCAGUGAAGCAUGCGUACCUGAAAAGCCCGGUUUUAUAUCUGCUGUUCAGGUUCACUGCGCUUUUGCCUUUUUAAUGUAAGGAGGGCGCAGGAGGACACUGUUAUUCUUUUAUCCCCAUAAUGGAGCCUUUGAAAGCUGACCUGCACUGGACUUUAAAGUUAACAGCAAUUUAAACACAAUCGUAAUAAAAGUAAAGAAGGAGUACGUUCAUUUCUUUUCAUGAAACAGUAAUAAUCCUCAAAGGGGGAAUUAAAUGAGUUUUUACUGGCAUUUAAUUUAUUUUUCAUACAUAUAUGAAACAGUUGAGUGUCUGCUUACUUAUUUUAUCACCUUUGUCACUGAUAUAAUGAUAUGAUUAAGACUUUAAUUGAGAGAAAAACAUUAAAUACUGAGUGCAAAAUGCUGCUUGCGAACAACAGCACUGGAAAAAAUGGGUGAACGCUGUUUAAGUAUGUCGCUAAUAGAGGAGCCAGCUCUAUAUCUAUGCUGCCAUAAAAAGUUUUCUGUAGGAUGACAUUUGGGCGCAGUGAUUGUGAAUUGAAAACUAGAAAAUAAGACAUUAUCACGUUUAAUUGCUUCAUUGUUAUAGGUAUUUGAAACUCAUUCUGCCAUAAAACAUUGUGUAGUGUUCGACAGAUUACAGAUUUUCAACAGCUGAUGAUGGGCCAAAUCCAAAAGACGUUGACGUCAACAUUUAAGGUGCUUUAGGAACUUCAAACAUGUCCAUAUCUCCCAUCACCGACCACCAUGAUAAAACUGCAGCCUUCAGGGCUUCACUUCAAAAAUACACCCUGAAAAUCUGACCUUUGGAUGAGGAGGAGACCUGGAGUGGACAAAUCUUUUUUUUUUUUUUUUUUUCAAAAAUUCUUUUUGAGUUUUCCAUCGACGUAUUUCAACAGUGAAUGUCAGGGUACAAGAGAUUCACUUCAACACCUAAAAUAAAUAAAUAAAAAUAACAACAAGAACAACAACAACUAGGGCCCCGUUGGGGCACUGGCGGGCCCGAGCCGUGUCGCGCCGCCCCCAGCGAGACCACCUCCCCGUCCCAUUCGCGUCCUCUGGCCGUCGCCCUCUCUGGUAACGCCCAUCACUGCAAAGACCCUUUUCCUUCAUCGGUGUUUGCUGUUCUUCCUGCCAGUGCGUGUUGCUUUCACUUACACUUGCCACAGCCAGCCUCGUGAGUGCCUAGCCUAUUGGAUAUCACUGUCACCUACACAGGACAGUCAUUACCUUUCUAUUAAUACUUUGUUUUUAAUUUCACAUUAAUUUCCAUAUUGUAUAAAUGACUGGAAAAAACUUGAGCCCCUGCCCCUGUAUAAUCAUGUGCACGUCCCUGUUCUAGCUCCAAGGUGAAUCUUCACUGCUCAUGUUCUCCUCAGAAGCAGUCACCUCACUCCCCUCAGGUUACUGUACACAUGCACCAACUGCCUGCUUCAGGUUUGGAUGGAGCUUCAUGGUUGUCUUUUGGAGAAAUGAGCAGUCAAGUUGUGUUUGAAAUUUGAUUUUUUUCAGGGGCAAAAGGAGCCUCUGUAUUCUUGAGACUCUGAGUGUGUGUGUGUGUGUGUGUGCGUGUGUGUGUGUGUGUGUGUGCGUGUGUGUGUGUCUGUGUGUGUGUGUGUGUGUAUAUCUUGCAGUACUCUGAGAAGAAUAAUAAGCAUAUUUCUGAGGUGAAUUUUGAAGAUUCAUCGGAGAGUUAGGAGGGCUGAUCAUUCCCUUACCCUUUAGAUGUCUAUGUCUGUUUUUGUGUGAUAAUGAAAUAAUCCCAACUCAAAAAGGCUCUGUUGAUGUUUUUUUUUUUGUUGUUCAUUCAUAUUCAAACCACUAUUUUAUAUCACUGCUAAUACGCCAAGACCAUUUUAUGGUAUUUAGCUUUAUUAUUUCUAUACAUUUUGCAAGGAAAGAAACCAAGCCCUUCACUAAAAUUUCCAUAAACUUUAGAAAAAAGAAACAAAGAAAAACCACUACAGGAACAACAGGGCCUCGCAGCUGCUUAGCAGCUACGCUCGGGCCCUAAUAAUAACGACAAUGACAACGACAAUGACAGUAAUGACAGCGACAAUAAUGACAAUGAUACUAAUAAUGAUGAUAAUGAUAAUAAUGAUAAUAAUGAUGGUAAUUGAUGAUGAUAAUUGAUGAUGAAAAUAAGAAAUAAGAUCAUACAGAAUCAGAUAAAAAAAAGAGUAAAAAUUGAUUAAAUAAAAAUAAAAAAAGGUUUGGACAAAUCUAAUCUUGUGUAGAGAUAAUCAGCAUGGAGGAAAGUGUGUUACAUAGGUGGAGAAGCAUUGAUUGAACACAUGAUGAGAGAGUGCGUGCAGCUCUGACCUUGGAUGAAAUCUAAGCGCAUCUGCAUUCAGUCUGUUCUGAUUUAUGCUGCAUUUUCACCUGAGAAAUAAAUACUUAACAACAUUCAGAGUUUUAUUUUAGAGUUAAAACCAACAUUUUGUCAGAGUCUGGUCUGAAAAUUUCAGUAUCAAAAGUACCAGUUAGAUACUUAUAGUCAACAAAAUAGAGUCACCAAAGCCUGAGAUAAGUCCCCAUUACUUGAGAGUCCCUAGUACCCGAGUCAAUGCCUUAGUCCAGUUCCCAUUACCUGAGUCUGAAGUCUAAAUCACCAAAUAAAAUAGCUAAAGCAAAGUUAUAUUCCAAGUCUCCUCUACAAAACAAGUAGUCACCAAAACAAGAACUAGAGCAACCACAGUCACUCCCUGAUUACCUGAGUCCGGUUCUUAGUUACUAAAGAGCGUGUUUUAAAGUCUGAGUCCAGUUCCUAUGAUUUCAAUUCUAGCUUGAGACAUCAAAAAUUCAGCCAAGUCCAAGUUUAGGUUUCUAUUUUCUGAGUCCAAGUCCACUGCAAGUCUUCAUCCGUAUUCAAAGUCCAAUUUGAGUCCCAAAUGAGUCUUGAACACCUCAGUCACAGUCUGACUUGAAUCUCUAGGGCAUGAGUCACCAUUAUGUGAGAAUAAGACACUGAAUGACAUGAGCUGAGUCUGAACUGAGUCACGUCAAGUCCAGAACUGUCUCUAGAGGUUUCCUAGGUGAACUGUUUUGCUGCAUAAAAUCAAAAGUGAAUGAACCACGAAGCUGGAAAACUCCAAGGUGUUGACAAAAUCAGUCUAAGGACCCAUGAAUUACUACAAAAUGCAAUGAUUAUAAAAAAAAGAGAGAACAUUUGCAGUCAUAGAAAGCUGGAGCCCAGUUUUUUAUAUUUUCAUGUGGCUAAAAAUCCCAGACAGUGACCUUGCAGGUCUAGGUUUUCUAGUGGAAAACUAAACCCAAAAAACUCACAAACUUACCAAAUCUUAAAACAGUCUGUAUCAAUGAUUGAGUCUGAGUCCACCUCCACAUGUUUUUGAGUCCUCAUACAGUAAAUAAUGAAGCCAAAACCCAACUCACCAGUGCAUGAGAACAAGGACUUGAACUUGACUCAAAUCGGAGUCCGAGACAGGAGUGCAAAUGACUAAAACAUUGAAUUUGAACAAUUUUUCCUACAUUUUUUUGUCAGGAGUCUGAUGGGAAACUUUCACCAAUACUUUACUUAGACAAGCAACAGAUAUAUGUGAUUAUUCAAAGAGCUGGUACAUAACGUAGCAGCUGGUAUAUUAAACAUUUUAGAGGCGAGGUCAGGGCUCCAGAGAUGAUUCAUUUCCGAUAGUUCUCGGAUCCUGUCUAACAUUAUAUCUACUUUUAUCAUGAUGGCAGGGGGGGAAGGUAAGGCCUUUGGUAUCUGUUACUGCUCUGUUACACAAGCGGGAGAAAGAUCCGGAAAAUAAUGAAGAAAUGUGAAGAUACUGUGACCGCGCUCGAUUCGCUUUAAAGGCUUCAUAAAAAAAAGACACUUUUUGAAGCUUCCUCAAAGACACGGACUGUUUAAAGUCUUUAAUGAGGAGGUUAGGUUUGCCUUGAUUGCUGCAGUUGUGAAUCACUUCUCACCACCACAAUGGAUUAAAUGGACACCAACUGCUGUCGUUUAAAUGCAGGUUAUUUUCCAGCUCAUUAGGCCUAUUGAUAACAGACACACAAAUUGUACAUUUUAAAGGAGGCAUCGAACUGCACCUCCUGUUUGUUUGUCUGUUUUUUUUUUUUUUUAAUUUUUCUGUUUACAACUAAAGAGCUCAAAAAUCUCCCUUUUCUCCACUCCACGAUUAUAUCAAGCGUUGAUUUGUUUUUGUUGAUUAUUUAUCUCACGAGUCACUAAGACGAAUUUGGCAGAGCUCCACUGCUUCUUUUAAAUCUUUCACAAAGACUGUAGAUAGAAUGAACGUUGUCUGCCUCCUCCUCUGCCUGCCUCCAGCAAUCCCUAUGGAGCUGUAGACAAACUUUAGAAAUUAAUUACACAGAAUAGAAAUUGUUCUCGCCCCUGGUUGUGAUGUUGACAUGUAGUUACUGUAAGACUGGUUUGUGCUCAAGUCCACUUUAUUCUGUACAGCUCCAUUUUUAAGAGUUAUUAAGGGGGUUCAUGUUUUCUAUGAUUGACACCUGAUACAGCCUAUGGGCGUACGAAGAUUGUGUAGCUCACCCAGGGGAUACGCUGUUUGAGCAGAACGCCAUCACAAAGACUUUCCCGUUUAAUGCCUAUGAUGCUACUGCGCAAGUGGUGUUUCCAGGAAGUGGAGAAAAUUUCGGAAAUACAGAGAGCAAUUCGGCUUCAAAUUCGUAUAAUGACGGAAGGCGGAGCCAAGUUGUCCAUAGUAUAUACAGCCUAUGGUUUGUAACUUACAACCACCUUGGCUAUUGUGGAAUAAGCCCAACGAUCAUAAUUGUUGCGAGCAGUUGGAUGGAUCUAAAACAAGCUUCACAGGUACAGUGUUGCCAACCUAGCGACUUUGUCACUAGAUUUAGCAAAUUUCAGUCCCCCUAGUGACUUUUUUUUCAAAAAAACGUCUAGCGACCAAUCUAGCAACUUUAUCUGGAGUUUAGAGACUCUAACCUGAAAGCAGGUAUCGAUGUCAAUGCUCUCAACGGGUGGGCGGUGUGCAUCAAAACUACAAGCACAAACACAUACGGACACCCCGAUGAAGACUCCUCCUUGGCGGCGGUGAAAAAUUAUGCAAAUUAGGCGUUGGCAUCAUCUAGGAACUUCUUGCAACCUUUACGACAGGCUGUCUUACAAACCAGUGUGGCUUACAUACUUUAUUUUAUUGUGAUUUUGCUUCAAGUGUUCAACAUUUUGAAGGGAGCAAUCGAGGUCAAAGUGUCGCAACCUGUCAAGAAAAGGCUUUUUUGCACAGAAAGGUAUCGAGCUGCUUUUUUUUUUUUUUUUAAAGGAAGUUACAGUCCCAGUGGGGCCCUUAAGUGUUCAGGAAGAGCAUUCCACAGUUGUGGAGCGGUGGAGCAGAAGGCAUGGUCUCCUAUUGUGCAGGUCUUGGUCUGGGGAAAGUGACAAGACAGUUUGAGUUGCUGGAUCUGAAGUUUUUAUUGGAGGUUUGGGGGGUUGAAAGUUCUUAAGGGUAGAAAAAAAAGUAGAAAGAACAAAAGGGAAAAACGGAUUAAAGAGUCUGAGGAGAGAAGUUAAACAGAGGAGAGGCAAAGCAGGGCCAAGUCAAGGAGUCUAUUUUGGGCAUGUACUCACCCUAGCUGCAAAGGCUUCCUCCAGUACCCGUCCAAUUAAGUGUGUACAGUCUAUCUACUGUUCCUCAAAUGAACAAGUGUGGAAAAGCCGAAUAUUCACUAAUUUCUUGUUUAUUUUGAAGGUAAAAUAAUCUAAAACUAAAGAUAAUAAACAACAACACAUCAACCAGUUUCAGUGACGUCUUCAUUCUCUGGUUUUAUCCAGGUAUAAAAGGUCAUGUACCUCCACCGCCAGGCAGUAUAAAAGCUUCAGAUCCAAAGGGUAACUUUUAUUUUUUGGGUAGUAGUGUUUGAUGUUUGCUUUGCCAAAUUGUACCACUUCCUGUGUCCUUUGAGAGGAAGGUGUUGGGUCAGAUCCUAAUUUAGAACAAUAAAUUUAGGCCCCUAGCUGCGGGGGAAAGCACUGUCACGGCAAGAUUGAUUUUUAUCGCGUCAGGCCUGAAGUGUGUUUGUGCGAGUGUGUGGGGGAACAAAGGCUGGUUCAGGGCUCCUCAGCCUCCACAGGGACUUGAAAUGGCUCUUACCAUCUGCUGAAAAUAGUCAAUACAUCCUAAAGCAUCAUGUAGGGCCUCCCCGUAUUCUGAUUGACUGAAAAGGUCACUGGCAGCAUCAAGAAUAAGCAGCCAAUCAACAUGCAUGCUUUUUUUUUUUUUUUUUAACAAAAUGCCAAUAUCUCAUCAGGCUUUUUGAACGGUCUUCAUCCUGGUUCUUGGUCUUAUUUGCUUGAAUAACCUGCAGCAAGACAAAGCUUUUUCGAAAGGCGGCUACUUAAAGAUCGGCUUGAUUUUCUAAUCACCUUAAAAUAGAACAGCUUUAGAUCCACCUGAAGUCUACGUAUCGUGCAGUAAAGCUAAAUAUAGCCACUUAAAUAAAGUAAAGGUUCGUAAGAGUCACCGCCACUAUUUUUGUCCCACGGGAUAGUGCAUAGUGCCGUAGUGACUGUCAAAAACAGACACUGCUUUCUGUGGCGCAUUUUAUACGAAUGAAUAAAUGAUGAGAGGUGUGAGGUGUGUGUUUUCAGCAGCAGCUGUAUCAGCUUUAGACCUGAGAUCUAUAUCUUGAAUGAAUAAUCUCACAUCUCAGGAGGAGUAAAAUGAGGGUAUUUUUUUGCCCUUGUGAAGCUCAGAGCCGUUGAAUAAAAAUGAGGAUUCAAAUCUGUCGUUACUAUUGAUAUUCCUGGUUCUGAUUGUAUUGUUUUUAAUCCAAAAGUGCGUCAGUUUACAGAUUUCUGUAGUGCGGUGAGCUGCUUUUCUUCAUCAAAGAGCAGAGCAUUAUUGUAAUGAAUUCACAGAGAUGCAGAAUCCUUUCAUGAUCCCAUAUGGCGGAUAACUAAAGCUCUGCCCUGUCUGGAAGUUUCACAUUGUUUGUGAUUUACCAGGUUGUUUCAGACGCCUUUGUUCUCUCUGCCAUCUGAAAAAAAAAGAAAAAAAAGUUCUGUGCUGCAUUACAAGUUGAUAAAUUGUUGACUUCAGAUUAUUUUUAGUUUCUGCGAAUCGCUCGAAAAAGUGACAGCUGCACAAACAAAUGUGCCAAAGGGUAGAAGACUUUCAAUUGGAAUACUUUUUUCCUAUUUCCUUUACUCAAGCUUUUGUUUUCAUUAAAAUAAAGAUGAAAUUGUGAGUAAUACCUGUCAUUCUGGCAAAUUUGCUAUUUUGCUUUGCUAGAUUUUGUUGAAACUUCCCAAAGCACAAGUAACUUUCCUAUGUUUCUGUGAAUGAAAAAUGAGUACAACCCUACUCCACGCUUGGAUCACAUCAUGAUGUAUGGUUUCUUUUUUUGUGUGGUAGAGUUUUGACCUGCAUUUGUGGACUUAGUGAAAAAUUGUCUUUACAUAAAAUGAACCCAUGCUGGGAUUUCCACUGCAGAGUUAUGAGUCUUUUUAAUAGCACAUCUAUCCAGUAAAAUCUAUCUGCCUUUUCUCUUUUUGUACAGAGAUUUCUCCAUUUCAGUAUCAUCUUUUUAAUGACAUUAGUAGAUGAUAAAUCCUCAAAUUCUGAUCAAUUUUAAGCAAAUAAACAUUAAUAUGAAACUGUUUAAGCUAACAAAUAUUACUAACCUGUUGAAGAUAAGUGUAAACAAACGGAAGAUGUCACUCCGGGUGUUUUUUUUCUAGUGUUUUACAACUUUUUUGUGUUUCGCCGUCCCUGGUUUGGCUAUUUGAAACCUUUGCUGGCAUCAACUUUAAUUUGAGCCUCCAGCAGGGGGCGACUAUAACUACAGGCAGCCACACAGGCUUGAACACCUGAGUGGUAAAUCCAUAUAAAUUUGUCAUUGUGAUGAGUAACUGAUGGCUGCAUUAUUGUACGAGUUUACUGUGGUCAAGAGUGCAUGGACUGGUCAGGUUACGAUGAGGGCUCCCUCUGCUGUAUCGUACGGGAAGCUACUUCUGGCGACCCAAUGUGGUGGUAUUUUCUAAUGUUAUUUUCUAUUGUUAUGAGCUCAAUAAAGUUUGAAUAUUAACUUUCGGAUAAAGGUUCGAACUUGGAUAACAAAUGAUAGAAAACAGCAGCUGUUUUGUCCACAUGCUUAAAACACCAAAUUUGUUCGCCUAAGCCAUGAGCUGAGUCAUUUUUCAGCCGUCAGUUGGCAGCUGCAUUACAACCAGGAGCCAGCAAAAGCUAUUAAAAAGACAUAUUCAUAACAUGAGAUAAUUGCUGCACAAACUCUUCUAUUUUUCACCUAUUGGAGACUUGCAAAAUAUUCAAAAACUAUGACCCAUCCUUUACUCAUGAAUCUAAAAUUACUAAGCUUUCGUCUGAAAUUGAGCACUAAUAUGAAUCCGCAAAAAUGAGCAAUAUCCAAUCAUCUGGAGCCGGACCUAUGCAACACUCUGUCAGAGGCAAAAACACUGUAUAUAUUUCUGAACAUUCAAACAUUUGUGCCAAUUAAACUUUUGGACUUUGUCAGACGGAAGAUGCCCAAAAGCAACAAACCAAACUGGAUUCCGCAUGACAAGGUGCACGGAUGAUGCCAGAAGUCUGAGGCUCAUCUCAGUCAGCCGAGCGUGAAGGGUGCAAGUAUUAAUAAACCACCAGAAACAGAGAGAGGAGGAGAAAAAAAAAAAAAAAAAAAACAGGCCGAGAGAAUGCAAGAAUGAUUUAUAAGAGAGAAGUGUGGGUAAUGGUUUGGGGGUAAACAACAGUGUCCCUCUGGCCUGGUCUGCAUUUCAUAGGACUGUGAUGAAGCUGUCAUCAACACGCACCACUCCGGUAAUACAAUCCUCUGGGGGACGCUUACUUUUAAUUUGGAUGUCAGAAGAAAAUGAUGGACUUUUAUUGUUUGUUUUGAGAGGGAGUGUGUGUUCGAGUGUGAGUGUGUGUGGGCUCACUCUCAUAUAUCCAUACCCGUCUAUCUGUCUGUCUAUAUAUUCAAGUGGACUUCAAUAUGAGAUUGGCUGUUAUUAAAACUUUAACCUGCAGAAUCCCGACUUCUCAAACAAGAAGAAACUUUCUAGCUGUUUGGAGAUUAAGUAACUUUAUAUGUGUGUUAGAGUUCGGGAUAUAUGAAGGACUAUUAGAGCAACCUAAUGUAAGUGGAUCAUUUAUUAUCAUUAUGAUGGUUAAAAUGGUGAUAAUCCCAUUUGCCGAAAAAAGCAAUGAGGCGAUGAAGGUAAAAAACUAGGAGAAAUCAAUGUUAACAUCUUGUUUUAUCAGUAUUACAAGACUGGUGUCAAAAUUUAUUGUGUGUUUUUUUUCAUUUCCCAGACGCCUCCAACCAAAUAGAUAUUCUUCGAGUAUAUUAGUACAGACAUAUUCAGGCUUAUUUGGCAUUUUUAAGGGGAACUGAUGCAUAAAAAGAGUUGUCUGAGGUAUAAAAUCCACAAAUUUAACUCUAAAAAGCUGACAGGGUCCCAAACAGAAAUAUUCAUCACCUACAUGAGCAUUUCCUUUUCUGCAGCAUUCAUAGCAGAGCUUUUUAAAGUGAGGAAAAAAGUGAGGAAAUUCAUCACAUAAACAGCUGGUAAUCUCAUUUUAAGUAUGGGUAUGGGCUGAAAAAGGACCUGGAGUAUUAUCAGUAUGAGCACGAACGAGCCACACCUCUUAAAAUUAGACAUAAUACAAAAUACGGACAAUAUACGACCACUUUUCAACUUAAAAAUGGUUUUAUAGAGUCAUGAGUGUGUGGAAAUCCAAACAAUUGUGAUUUAUUGAUAUAUUGUCAUGUGGAGACUCUCUUUUACAGUACUCAAACUGAAAGCAGGAUGAUUUUCUUUACUCACAAACACAUGUACAUGUUUUAAUACGAACAGACCAUCACUGCUCUGUGUUAUUACAUCCUACAGUGAACAAGUUAAAGGCCCUGCCUCUCACUCUGUGCGAUAAACUCAUCCCAUUAUCAUCUUUGUGCAGUCUCUUAUUGACAUUAGUGUUUUAAGGUGUAGCUUCACGGAGCUGUAGGUGCUGAAUUCAGUCGUCUUGAAGUCCAUAUUGUUUUACGAACGGCAUGAGCUGCAGGAAUCGGGUAGAAAUGACUCUGGAUUUAUUAAUAAGUUAAAAGCUGUUAGGCAGCAUGUGAUUGACAUUAAUUAUAAAAAUGGGACUCUCUCUCAGCACCCUCAGCCAUGACAAGUGUUGGGGAACAUUACUUCCUCAAGUAUCUUGUAUUGUUAGAAGAUUAGAAGAAGAAGCAGCAUCAGAGUAUGUCUGCUCGAACCCCCUGACUCAUUACGCUUGUCAGUUAUAAUGUCCAGACUUGGAAAAAGAUGGAGAUGAUGGACUGUUGAUAUCAGCAGCAUCUCCUCCAUUACAUCACCAGCUGUAAGCUCAUUAAUUUCCUCCUGAUUGACAGUGUUAGUUGAACUCAAAGUUAGCUGUUACUUUUUCUGAGCUGCUGCACCACCUGUACCUCCUCAAUGGGCCUCACCAUCAGCGCUGCAGAGCAAAGUUUAGCUUUUGAGACGUUUUUGUCCCCCAGGCACUGUUUUACAUUUGAAUGUAGUAGUUUUUUUUAACUUAAGAUACCUUUAUUAUUUAUCACUCUGUUUAUUUACUUUAGGGGUGUCCUGAUACAACUUUUUGACUAAGGGAAACCUUUGCCAUUCUGUUCUCCAGACUUGUAGUAACAAGUUUUUUGCUUAUUUUGCAGCUGGCAGUUUCAGAAAUGGUUCCUUCCAUCAG
rnacentral:lncRNA from 1 species